rnacentral:rRNA from 1 species
UACGUAGGUGGCAAGCGUUGUCCGGAAUUAUUGGGCGUAAAGCGCGCGCAGGUGGUUCCUUAAGUCUGAUGUGAAAGCCCACGGCUCAACCGUGGAGGGUCAUUGGAAACUGGGGAACUUGAGUGCAGAAGAGGAAAGUGGAAUUCCAAGUGUAGCGGUGAAAUGCGUAGAGAUUUGGAGGAACACCAGUGGCGAAGGCGGCUCACUGGCCCGGUACUGACGCUGAGGCGCGAAAGCGUGGGGAGCAAACAGG